CCCCCCCAGCAGGUAGAGGGGACACUGGUGCAGGGAGCAGAGUGAGAGGGACAUUCGUUCUGCUGAUUAUUUUCUAUUUGUAUUGGUUUGUUUUCGUGUUCUUCGACCACUAAUCUUGGACUCAUUGCCUCCCCCUGCUGGUCUCUCUUUGUGGUUGUCCAUCGGUCUGCUUCCUGCCUUCUGGCCCUGCUCCCCGGUUCCUGGUUGGGUUGGUACUGCCCAGACUUGCUCGGCUAGUCAGUUUGUUCUGCCAUGUUCCUGCCUGCCUGCUUGCCCUAUUCCGGAUUUAUCUACGUUUUUACUUUGCCUGCCCCUGGACUGCUCUCCUGAACGGGGACCUGGCUUUCCUUUCUCUUUUGGCUUUUGUCAUCAGCGGCCUUGUGCCCUUUUUGUUUUCCCCAUUUCCUCCUGAGAAGUAGAUAAAUAUUUUUGAGCUUCUGCAUUUGCAUUUGGUUUCAGUUUUCGCAUUAACCUGGCAACUGUCCUGUACUGUAUUUUUGCAUCCACGUUUCUGAAAUCCAUAAAGAACGUGAUGGAUCCAUAAGGAGUCCAUAAAAAACGUGAUGGAUCCAUAAGGAGUCCAUAAAGAACGUGAUGGAUCCAUAAGGAGUCCAUAAAGAACGUGACGAAUCCAUAAGGAGUCCAUAAAGAACGUGAUGGAUCCAUAAGGAGUCCAUAAAGAACGUGACGGAUCCAUAAGGAGUCCAUAAAGAACGUGAUGAUCCAUAAGGAGUCCAUAAAGAACGUGAUGGAUCCAUAAGGAGUCCAUAAAGAACGUGAUGAUCCAUAAGGAGUCCAUAAAGGUCACGCAGUGCUCCUCUGCCUGCUCGUGGUCACGGUGCCUGGGUCUCCCACCCAUGGCCGUCAGUAUUGGUUCAUAGACUCACCACUAGGUCCAUGGCGGUCAGUAUUGGUUCAGGGCCUCACCACUAGAUCCAUGCCCGUCAGAAUUGGUUCAGGGCCCUCAGGCCUUCUGAGUUAUUCUGCUAUAGCACUCCGGAGCUCGCGCUAACCGUCUUCUCCCUGAGACCAGUCCGACCGCCGGCCGGGGCUACCCACAUGCUGCCUGACCCCCCUCCUCUGGGCCCUGCCAUUCAUAUUCAUAUUUGUUGCCCUCGGUCGCUGACAGAACCAUCUGAUCUUAAAGGGGACAGGUUAUACCACCAGUAAGUGUGAGUGUGAUUAGCCCUAGGGCUGCUCGAUUGUGGAAAGAAUCAUAAUCACGAUUAUUUUGGUCAAUAUUAAAACGAUUAUUUUUGAGUUUGAAAACAUGAUGUAUUUAUUCAGCAAGUCUCUCCCAAAAACACUUUGUAACUGAGGACUUUUAAAUUUUGCCUUGAAAAACGACACAAAA